GAUGAACGCUGGCGGCGUGCUUAAUACAUGCAAGUCGAACGAACAGACGCGGAGCUUGCUCGUCUCUCGUUAGCGGCAGACGGGUGAGACACACGUGUAUAACCUCCCUAUCAUACUGAUAUAACUUCGGAACUCGGGCGCUAAUACCGUAUAAUAUAUUGAACCGCAGUGUUCGUUGGUAAAUGUCGGUUUUGCUGGCUGUUCUCGCUGGUUAUGCGCCGCUUGGGCGAGUUGGGAAGGAAACGGCUUUACAAGGCUACGAUGCGUAGCCGAGCUGCGAGGGUGAUCGGCCACACUGGAACUGAGACACGGUCCAGACUCCUACGGGAGGCAGCAGUAGGGAAUCGUGCGCAAUGGGAGAAAGCUUGACGGAGCAACGCCGCGUGAGUGAUGAAGGUCUUCGGAUCGUAAAACUCUGUUAUUAGGUAAGAACAAAUGUGUAAGUAACGAUGCACGUCUUGACGGUAACUAAUCAGAAAGCCACGGCUAACUACGUG
rnacentral:rRNA from 1 species